UAGGGAAUCUUCGGCAAUGGACGAAAGUCUGACCGAGCAACGCCGCGUGAGUGAAGAAGGUUUUCGUAUCGUAAUACUCUGUUGUUAGAGAAGAACAAGGACGUUAGUAACUGAACGUCCCCUGACGGUAUCUAACCAGAAAGCCACGGCUAACUACGUGCCAGCAGCCGCGGUAAUACGUAGGUGGCAAGCGUUGUCCGGAUUUAUUGGGCGUAAAGCGAGCGCAGGCGGUUUCUUAAGUCUGAUGUGAAAGCCCCCGGCUCAACCGGGGAGGGUCAUUGGAAACUGGGCGUCUUGAGUGCAGAAGAGGGGAGUGGAAUUCCAUGUGUAGCGGUGAAAUGCGUAGAUAUAUGGAGGAACACCAGUGGCGAAGGCGGCUCGCAGGUCUGUAACUGACGCUGAGGCUCGAAAGCGUGGGAAGCAAGCAGG
rnacentral:rRNA from 1 species